rnacentral:rRNA from 1 species
UGGGGAAUAUUGGACAAUGGGGGCAACCCUGAUCCAGCAAUACCGCGUGUGUGAAGAAGGCCUGCGGGUUGUAAAGCACUUUCAGUAGUGAGGAAGGCUUUGUUGUUAAUAGCGACAGAGAUUGACGUUAGCUACAGAAGAAGCACCGGCUAACUCUGUGCCAGCAGCCGCGGUAAUACAGAGGGUGCGAGCGUUAAUCGGAAUUACUGGGCGUAAAGCGCACGUAGGUGGCUUGUUAAGUCGGUUGUGAAAUCCCUGGGCUCAACCUGGGAACUGCAUCCGAUACUGGCAGGCUAGAGUAUGGUAGAGGGAAGUGGAAUUUCCGGUGUAGCGGUGAAAUGCGUAGAUAU